rnacentral:rRNA from 1 species
AUUGAACGCUGGCGGCAUGCCUUACACAUGCAAGUCGAACGGCAGGCACGGGAGCAAUCCUGGUGGCGAGUGGCGAACGGGUUGAGUAAUAUAUCGGAACGUGCCCAGUCGUGGGGGAUAACGUAGCGAAAGCUACGCUAAUACCGCAUACGAUCUAUGGAUGAAAGCGGGGGAUCGCAAGACCUCGCGCGAUUGGAGCGGCCGAUAUCAGAUUAGGUAGUUGGUGAGGUAAAGGCUCACCAAGCCGACGAUCUGUAGCUGGUCUGAGAGGACGACCAGCCACACUGGGACUGAGACACGGCCCAGACUCCUACGGGAGGCAGCAGUGGGGAAUUUUGGACAAUGGGCGCAAGCCUGAUCCAGCAAUGCCGCGUGCAGGAUGAAGGCCUUCGGGUUGUAAACUGCUUUGUACGGAACGAAACGGUGAGCUCUAAUACAGUUUGCUAAUGACGGUACCGUAAGAAUAAGCACCGGCUAACUACGUG